rnacentral:lncRNA from 1 species
CUUUAUGAGGUGCAACCAAAACAGCUGUUUGACAUAGCAACAGGGAUAUUCGGUCAAGGUGUCUCUCUAGCAUUUGUUCUUAAUACCGUUGUGGUUUUGAUCACUAAAAUGGCUGUGACUUUUGGACUCUCGUUGAGUGUUUCUUGGAUUUGCUGUCUGCUAAUUGGAGGGAUAACUUGUUUUACACUUAAAGGUAAUUCUAAUGGGCAUCAUGCCUACACUGGACCUGAACCAACUGGAUCCUAUGCCAAAGCAAGUGUGGUGCCUAGUCCAAAUGCUAAAGCUACUGGCCACAAUGCCACGUCAGCAGAAGCUACUGGCCACAAUGCCACGUCAGCAGAAGCUACUGGCCACAAUGCCACGUCAGCAGAAGCUACUGGCCACAAUGCCACGUCAGCAGAAGCUACUGGCCACAAUGCCACGUCAGCAGAAGCUACUGGCCACAAUGCCACGUCAGCAGAAGCUACUGGCCACAAUGCCACGUCAGCAGAAGCUACUGGCCACAAUGCCACGUCAGCAGAAUCUACUGGCCACAAUGCCCCGUCAAGUGUGAAGUCCGGCCCCGGCGCCUCAGCAGAAGCGUCCGGCGCCUCAGCAGAAGCGUCCGGCGCCUCAGCAGAGCGCCCGGCGCCUCAGCAGAAGCGUCCGGCGCCUCAGCAGAAGCGUCCGGCGCCUCAGCAGAAGCGUCCGGCGCCUCAGCAGAAGCCUCAGGAGAAGCGUCCGGCGCCUCAGCAGAAGCCUCAGGAGAAGCG